GCCGCUAUGGUGGAAUUGGUAGACACAAGGGACUUAAAAUCCCUCGGUAGCGAUACCGUGCCGGUUCGACCCCGGCUAGCGGCACCA
rnacentral:tRNA from 2 species